ACUCAGAUCACUAAAGAACAGAAUAGUGAGCUUGAUUCCUCAUCUGGAAAAUCUGUUGCUACUAGCACCCCGCUUGUUCGUCCUGUUGGCCUUGGACCUGCUGCUCCAUUACUGGAACCUGCACCUAGGGUUGCGCAGCAGCCACGGGUCAAUUAUACUGUAUUUAAUACACAGUCCCAGAGAAUGGAAGACUCCUCAAGCGGGGAGCCUGAGGCUACUAGCACCCCGGUUGUUCGUCCUGUUGGCCUUGGACCUGCUGCUCCAUUACUGGAACCUGCACCUAGGGUUGCGCAGCAGCCACGGGUCAAUUAUACUGUAUCUAAUACACAGUCCCAGAGAAUGGAAGACAACUCAAGCGGGGAGCCUGAGGAGAAUGACGAGACUCGAGAGAAACUUCAAAUGAUUAGGGUGAAGUUUUUGCGGCUGGCUAAUAGGUUUGGGCAGACACCCCACAAUGUUGUUGUAGCACAAGUUCUUUAUAGAUUAGGACUGGCUGAGCAACUUAGAG
rnacentral:lncRNA from 1 species